UCGGGGGUACUACUGACGCUGAGGCUCGAAAGUGCGGGAAUCAAACAGGAUUAGAUACCCUGGUAGUCCGCACCGUAAACGAUGGACACUCGUGGUUGGCCCCUGGUGGUCAGUCACCCAGCGAAAGCGUUAAGUGUCCCACCUGGGGAGUACGCCGGCAACGGUGAAACUCAAAGGAAUUGACGGGGGCCCGCACAAGCGGAGGAACAUGUGGUUUAAUUCGAUGAUACGCGAGGAACCUUACCCGGGCUUGAAUUGCAUGGGGCGUGGUCAGAGACGGCCAUUUCUUCGGACCCAUGUGAAGGUGCUGCAUGGUUGUCGUCAGCUCGUGCCGUGAGGUGUCGGCUUAAGUGCCAUAACGAGCGCAACCCUUCUCUUCGGUUGCCAUCGGGUAAUGCCGGGCACUCCGGAGACACUGCCAUCGCAAGAUGUGAGGAAGGUGGGGAUGACGUCAAAUCAGCACGGCCUGACGUCCGGGGCUACACACGUGUUACAAUGGGAGGUACAGAAGGCCGCUACCUGGUGACAGGAUGCCAAUCCCGAAAGCCUCUCCCAGUUCGGAUCGGAGUCUGCAACCCGACUCCGUGAAGCUGGAUCGCUA
rnacentral:rRNA from 1 species